GGACUACUGGGGUUUCUAAUCCUGUUCGCUCCCCACGCUUUCGCUCCUCAGCGUCAGUACCGGCCCAGACCACCGCCUUCGCUGCUGGUGUUCCUCCUGAUAUCUGCGCAUUUCACCGCUACACCAGGAAUUCCAUGGUCCCCUACCGGACUCCAGUCACGACAGUAUCGGAUGGCGGCCCCAGGUUGAGCCUGGGGGUUUCACAUCCGACUGAUCGAACCGCCUACGAGCUCUUUACGCCCAAUAAAUCCGGACAACGCUUGCACCCUACGUAUUACCGCGGCUGCUGGCAC
rnacentral:rRNA from 1 species